GAGGGUAUAGCUCAGUGGUGGAGCACAUGCUUAGCAUGCACAAGGUCCUGGGUUCAAUUCCCGGUACCUCCA
rnacentral:tRNA from 1 species